rnacentral:lncRNA from 1 species
CAUGUUGGCUGCAGUAGGUUCAUUGUAGGAAUAGGGUGCGCACUUAGAUGGAAUCUAUCUCCCUUGGUAGAUAGGGGUGUUAGUCCUAUGUGAUUUAUGAGACCGAGUUUAGAAGACCUUGGCCAGGGCAGAAUAAAUAGCGGAAAAGGGUUUCCGAUAUUAGAAACUCGAGUCGAAUAAAUUUAACAUAUGACAGACGAUGGGGUUUGACGAGUUAUUCCAUAACCUCCGUCUAGUCGGGACUCAUGAUAGAAGGAUUGUAUCACACGGUAACUGCACCAAGAGGUUCAUUAUUCCAUUCUACUGGAAUGCCACUACAUGCUGCUAGGCGUCACUGGUGGAUGGUGAGACUCAUGAGAAUUAUCUAGAUGAUCGAUAAUUCUUAUUGGGCUGAGUUGGAAUUGUUUUAAUCCAUUGAAAGGAGUUUCAGUGAUAUUGUUGAUAGUGAUCAAAAUAUAUCUCACUACCAGAUAGAAUAGAACCUAUGGGGUCACACACAUAAGAGGUUGUGAUUGAUCGGAUAGCUAGAUCGCGAUUAUUGAAUCGCCGGAGGACCUAAUUGUCAAUAUGUUGAUAAUUGGACUAAUUUGUAAUUGUUACAAAUUAGUGGUAUUAAUAUGUAAAUAUUACAAGAGAGGACUUACUAAUAGUUAGUAAAUUAUAAGAGGACUUAUGUGCAAAUGUUGCAUUAUUAAUUUGAUAUAAUCAAAUUAAUAUAAAGAUCGAAUCAAAUUAGGAUUUGAUUGAUCUAACCAAUUAAGGAAAAGAUAAAUUUAAAUCUAGAUUUAUAAUUAUCCUUAAUUGUCAUUAUAUUAUUAGGAAUAGGAUUAUAUUCCUAUAUAUAUAAUAUACGGGAGUUUUUAGAAAACCCAAGCCGUCAUCUAUCCUCUCUUCUCUCUUCCAUCUUCUAGCAAGAAAGGCGUUCUUUUGCAAGGGAGCUAGCACCCCGGUGAGGACAUCGAUCAAAUCAAGAACCUCGUGUGGAUACCUAUAGAGGCCGGACGCGUGUGCGGCUUCAAGAGAACCCGAUUCCACGAUCAUCAAAUUGAGGCAAGAAUUUAUCCGCGAAAAAGGUAAUGAUUCGAUCUUACUUUUCUCCAUUAAUCUUAAAGAACAUGAGGGAUCCUAAUUGCGUGAUUUUUGAGAUUAGAUCUCGAGAGUUUUUCAAAAUCAAAUUUGUUUGAUUUCUUUUUCCGCUGCGUUUUACCGUACACAAUUUUCUAACAGUGGGUUGCCUGGUACCGAUGGGAUUGACGGUUUGGCAUCAUUGCGCAGGUAUGUUGGUUGGCGCCGUACAACCCCCCCUCUGUUUGUGGUCGGCAUCGUGCCCCUUCCCGUGCUUCAUCCCCUCGCUGUAUUCCUCGCCGUCCUCCCCGGCACUGCCGGAGGUGGGUUAGCUGGUACCCAUGGACUUCGUGGCUCCUAAUCAUUGCAACCUAUUCUACCCUCC